CUGGUUGAUCCUGCCAGUAGUUAUAUGCUUGUCUCAAAGAUUAAGCCAUGCAUGUCUAAGUACACACGAAUUAAAAGUGAAACCGCAAAAGGCUCAUUAUAUCAGUUAUGGUUCCUUAGAUCGUUAACAGUUACUUGGAUAACUGUGGUAAUUCUAGAGCUAAUACAUGCAAUUAAAACAUGAACCUUAUGGGACAUGUGCUUUUAUUAGGCUAAAACCAAGCGAUCGCAAGAUCGUUAUAUUGGUUGAACUCUAGAUAACAUGCAGAUCGUAUGGUCUUGUACCGACGACAGAUCUUUCAAAUGUCUGCCCUAUCAACUUUUGAUGGUAGUAUCUAGGACUACCAUGGUUGCAACGGGUAACGGGGAAUCAGGGUUCGAUUCCGGAGAGGGAGCCUGAGAAACGGCUACCACAUCUAAGGAAGGCAGCAGGCGCGUAAAUUACCCACUCCCAGCUCGGGGAGGUAGUGACGAAAAAUAACAAUACAGGACUCAUAUCCGAGGCCCUGUAAUUGGAAUGAGUACACUUUAAAUCCUUUAACAAGGACCNNNNNNN
rnacentral:ncRNA from 1 species